UUGAAAGGGAAACGAUUGAAGUCAGUCAUGCUAAUAGGGAAUCAACUUGAUGGGUCGUUCCCCCGGGAGCAAUCUUUCUUGUGCACUUCCUUGUUCGGCAGGUUAGCAUCAAUUUCGGUUGUCAUCAAAAAAUUGAGGGAAUGUGACUUCUUUCGGGAAGUGUUAUAGACCUUAAUAUAUGUGGAUAACCGGGAUUGAGGAUUGCAGAAGAUGCUUUUGGGCUAGUCACCUACCUUCUGACGGUUACCUCGCUUUCGAUAGCUUGCUAACGAUUGUGGGAUUCAACAGUCUAGAUGUUGGAGUGAUCUUAUAUUCGUUAAGGAUGUUGACGUA
rnacentral:rRNA from 1 species